UGGGGAAUAUUGGACAAUGGGGGCAACCCUGAUCCAGCCAUGCCGCGUGUGUGAAGAAGGCCUUUUGGUUGUAAAGCACUUUAAGCAGGGAGGAGAGGCUAAUGGUUAAUACCCAUUAGAUUAGACGUUACCUGCAGAAUAAGCACCGGCUAACUCUGUGCCAGCAGCCGCGGUAAUACAGAGGGUGCGAGCGUUAAUCUGAAUUACUGGGCGUAAAGCGAGUGUAGGUGGCUCAUUAAGUCACAUGUGAAAUCCCCGGGCUUAACCUGGGAACUGCAUGUGAUACUGGUGGUGCUAGAAUAUGUGAGAGGGAAGUAGAAUUCCAGGUGUAGCGGUGAAAUGCGUAGAGAUCUGGAGGAAUACCGAUGGCGAAGGCAGCUUCCUGGCAUAAUAUUGACACUGAGAUUCGAAAGCGUGGGUAGCAAACAGGAUUAGAUACCCUGGUAGUCCACGCCGUAAACGAUGUCUACUAGCCGUUGGGGUCCUUGAGACUUUAGUGGCGCAGUUAACGCGAUAAGU
rnacentral:rRNA from 1 species